rnacentral:sRNA from 1 species
CUCCCAGCCUCAACGGUCCUCCGCUUCGCCUUUGACCCUUCCUGGCUCUUCACACCCUGCACGAUCCGCUCAAGAUUCGUCUCCAGUACAACCCCGCCAACGAUCAUUUCGCCAAGCACCGCAUGCAUGGUCUCGAAUCCGAAUAUCAGAUCCAACUCACACACGUUUUCGAAGAGGCGGUCGAGCGCCUCGACGAAGACUUGGAUGAGAUCGAUGAGGGCUAGUGGUGAUUCUGUCGAAGUGGAUAUUAGGAUGAAUGAUAAGGUGGCGUAUGUUCGGUGCGUUAUUUGACUGGGGGCAUCAGAGAAGCUGGUGGCGGGGGUGCUGGAGCUGGCGCCUUCGGCGAGGAGCGGGGGGAGCGGGAGGAAGUUGCAAGCGGAGGAGGGCCGCUGGGAGACGAGAUUGUAUAUCUGAGCAAUUAGGGAUUGCUGUGUUUGGGUGUCCUGGUAAUAAGAGGGCAUUAGCUAGAUAACUGACAGAUCUUGAAGCGUCGAUGAAGCCACAAGAUGUGAAUCUGCUGCGGGUUGGCUAGCAUACCAGUUGGGUAUAGAAUUUGGUUAAUCGUGGCUGACCACUAUUGUUAAAGACUAACACGGCAUUGAUCAUUAUGUCUGAUAUAGUGAUCCAGUGUCCUCAUAUGGAGGUGGCAUUUCACAGAGCGCAUGGAUUGAAAUGGAUACGAUGACGGAGCGUUUGACCUCGUGCUGUUUGCAGUGUUUGUCUGGGUUGCAACUCUGUCAAAACGAUGAUCCGAUAUAUCCUCAAAGCUUCAAAUAAAUAAAUACUCCGUAAGGAUUUCCGAUUCCACAGCUCCACGCGAGCGAUCGAAACGCCCAGUUGAAUAAUCCUAAUCCUAAUAUACACACAUAUUCCCCAAAAUAUGUCACAUCUUCUAACCUCAUAGAAACCUCCCUUUACCCUAACAAUCCUCUAACCCCCAAUCGACAAGAACGCGGAAACAAACCAACAAGCAUGGCCGCCGCAAAAUCCGCAGCCUCCAUCGCAACCACCACAGCGAAAAACCUACUCAGGGCCACCGAAUGCAAGCCAAAAAUAACCCGCACUGGCCCCGCAACUGCCUCACCGCCCAUCCAACUCCAACUGCACGACCACUGCUUCUACUAUGACACAGCGCCCCCAACCCAACAACAACUCCAAUACGGCGCGGACCUGUUCAGAGCCUCCAACCACUCGCCCAUACAGAUGUGGACGGCCAGCGAAUUCCGCACGAUCCCCAUGUCCGAUGUGCCCGAGGUGGUGUUCCUGGGUAGAUCGAACGUGGGCAAAUCAUCCCUGCUGAAUGCGAUUAUGGAGAAGGGCCUCUGUUUCACGUCGUCGAAGGUCGGGCGGACAAGGACACUGAAUGCGUACGGGAUCGGGGGCCGGAAAGACGGGGAGGCGAAGGUUGUUCUUGUUGAUACGCCCGGCUACGGUAAGGGGAGCCACGAGGAGUGGGGGGAGGUGAUUAUGAAGUAUUUGACGAAGCGGAGGCAACUUCGCCGCACCUUCGUCCUCCUCGACUCCCACCACGGCAUAAAACCCGCCGACGCGGCCAUCCUUUCCCUCCUCCGUUCCGCGGCCGUCCCACACCAAGUAAUCCUCUCAAAAGCAGACUCGGUCCUCAUCAAAGGCGGGCUGAAAAAGGGUGCCCGUGGCCUCCGUCCUGAACGCAUAGAGGAGCUUGGCCGCUUCGCUGGCGCGAUCCGCGCAAAGGUGCAGCCCGUCAGGAAUGUGGCUGUUAGUAGUAGUCAAAAGAAGAAGAUGGAGAGGCGGCCGAAUAGGAAUAUUUAUGAUGAUAAUAAUGAUGAUGAUGCUGUGGGUGGCGGUGAUGGUAACAAGCUGUCCGCGGAGCCUGCUGGGAUGGAGCUGGGGAUUCCGGCGCUCGGGGAAAUCUUAGCCUGUUCGACUA